UUGACGAAGCCCUCGGGGAUG
rnacentral:misc_RNA from 1 species